AAAGACCCACUUAAACCAACUGCCAAUACCGCUUGGUUUAACACUGAUAAAACCUGUGUUUAACUCGAGUUUUACACACUUAUUUGGGAAGGGCUGUAUUAUUAUAUGCAAUAAAUAUAAAACAUAAAGUGUUGUUAUUUUUUAUGAAUCAUGUGUAUGUGCUUGUAAUUAUAAAAUAAAUUGAUUUAUUGUCAGUAUAAAAACAUGUGUGCAUUGUUCAUUAUGUUUAAUGAAUAUAAAACAUGCAAUGCUGUUAUUUUCUAUGCUUCAAUUGUAUGUAUUAUAUACAUAAAUAAUAAUAUAUAACAUGAAUGAACAAUAAUAGAAUUUAAAAUGAAGUUUGUCUUUUAUUUUAGGAAAAGCUUAUGCUUUACUAUCGACUCACAAACUUUCAAUUAGCGAUAUGUGUCUUUACGUAAUUAGCAAAUAAUUAAUUACCGACUCGGGCCUUUAAUUUACCGACACGGGCCUUUAAUGGCCAAUAAGUAACCAAUUAGUAAACAACUCACUGCUUUAAUUAUGAUACAAACUGUGUAAUUCACUGAAAGAGUAAAUAAAGUCAGUUGAACACACAUUAUAUAAUACGUGUGUUGUUUGUUAAAUUCACAAAACCAGUAAUGGCUUGCGAAUAUCCUUGUGUGUACUGUGCACGGAAUGUUGGUGAAGAAGAUAAAGCCAUCUCAUGCGAUGAAUGUGAAAGAUGGCAGCAUCUGUCAUGUGAGACUGGUGUCAGUCUCCGACAGAAUCGAAAAAUGAUGAAAGAGAAUGUCGUCGUUACGUGGAAAUGCUGCGAAUGUAGCCGACUAGUGGAAGUUCCACCAGAGGUACCGGCGAUAGUGGAUAUCCCUAUAGAUGUUAUGCCAGAGGUACCGGAGAUAGUGGAGAUCCCUAUGGAUGUUACUCCAGAAGUAACAGAGGCUACAAAUGAAAUUUCUGUAUUGUCAGACCUAUCGAUAGACUCCUGUUUAGAUGAAGUAGAAGAUAGGACCUUCAACGUAAUCAAUCGGGAGAUCAAUCAACCGAACAUCCCUCUCGACGUUUCACUAAGGGAAUAUCCUCUGGAUACGGUCAUACCAGAGGACAGACCCGUAACGUAUGAAGUUGUGACUGGUGGCACCAAAAGAGGAGGAAAGUAGCUGAUCAGCAGUGAUGGUCGCUCCUACACCGCCAAGCGUAGUGAUGGCGGGCGCAUGUACUGGACAUGCAGUGUCCGAAACAAAACGACGAAGUGCUAUGCCAACGUCAAACAGUUCGGUGACUACUUCACGGUGUUGUUGGGUGGGCACAGUCAUCCCGCGAAUCCUGGUCUGCCGAAGCAAGUAAAGGCUCAUGCAGAAGUUCGUGAUCGUUCAAAGAAGAACGUAUUCGAACCUGCGGCCAGUAUAGUGGAGGACGUAAAAACCCAUUUUACCAGCUGUUCACGAUACACGCCUUCGUGAAGAAGGAUGACGACACCAAGCAAGCGCCGUUGGUGUACGUGCUGAUGUCCAGGCGUACGAAGGAAGACUAUGUUAGUGUGCUGACAUCCAUCCACCAACGCCUGGAAAAUCCACUGGUCGAGUGGGUCAUGCUUGACAUUGAAGCAGCGAUGUGGCAGGCACUACGGCAUGUCUACCCAAGGGCCACUCUGAAAGGAUGUGUCUUCCAUUGUAAUCAGAGGUUCUCCAUUGUGAUCAAUUUUCGCAAGUUCGGGUCUGUAUGAAGACCAUUGAUGUUGGGAGGGGAUGGGGAAAGCGCUUUAAAAGCCACGAGAAAGGGGAAACCCACAAAGAAAACAUGAAAUUGAGAAGCAAACAGGGUUCCUGCGAUGUGUUUUUUGUGUUAAGGAUGGAUAACAUGUAUUUAUAUGUAAUAACUAGAAAUAACAUGUAUGAGUUAUUGUGGAAUAUGUUUAAUGUUUUUGAGCAAAUAAAUUAUAUUUACUGUGUUUAUCUUGCUUGAAUAUGCAUUUUUUUAAAGGAAACUAACGUACGGUUCUCGGCCUUGAAAAUGAAAAUGAAAAUUUGGCAUUGAAAAGUCCUUGAAAAGUGCUUGAAUUUAGGUUUGAGAUUUCUGUUUGAACCAUGGACAGCAUCUUGAGUGUAGGUUUAGGGAACAUCUCGGACUCUUUUAUCAAUGUGAUUUUGUCUUCUACGCGCCUUUGCUUAGAAGGAGGUUGGGACAUUUUUAGUCUUAGGUAUCUUAAUUACCAAUUUGAAAAUCUAAAUGAAUAUCUAAAUGCAACUGCUUCAAGAACUCUGCAAAUCACCCUUUUUAUAUGGCACUAAAUAAGCAAUUGUAAUAAACAACACAAAAUUAAAAAGCAUUAAAAUUAUUAAAAUUAAGCACAGCUUCCUACA